GCAGUAAAUGUGACACAAACAUGACUAUAAAGUGAACUAUUAAAUCAAAUAACCACUGUUUGUUUUUCUUCCUCUUUAGAACAGCUUUCUGUUAUUAUAGCAUCUGUGCUCGUGUAAGGUACAGAUGCUACUAUGGUAAGUAAAUGGAUUCUACUUUAUUUUAUCCAGCAAUCACUGGGAUUUAUUAUUUUCAAUCAGGGCACAAAUUGUUUAUCAGUGUAACUCUGCGAGGCUUCAAUGGCACAGUGGGUGGUGCUGGGCUGCA